UCUCCGUAGGUGAACCUGCGGAGGGAUCACUACAGGCUUGCAAAAGCUCUGAAACCACUGUUUAUCUACCUGAUUCUGCUUCGGCGGGCGGCCCCAGGGCGGGGCCGUAGCCACCAGGCGACCGCCGAAGACCCCUCAACUCUGUAGUUUUGAGACUGUCUGAGUAAUUAUAUUAAACAAAAAAAACUUUCAACAACGGAUCUCUUGGCUCUG
rnacentral:misc_RNA from 1 species